UUGAGUUUGAUCAUGGCUCAGGACGAACGCUGGCGGCAGGCUUAACACCUGCAAGUCGAGCGCCCCGCAAGGGGAGCGGCAGACGGGUCAGUAACGCGUGGGAACGUGCCCUUCAGUUCGGAAUAGCUCCGGGAAACUGGAAUUAAUACCGGAUACGCCCCUAGGGGGAAAGAUUUAUCGCUGAAGGAUCGGCCCGCGUCAGAUUAGGUAGUUGGUGGGGUAAUGGCCUACCAAGCCGAUGAUCUGUAGGUGGUCUGAGAGGACGAUCACCCACACUGGGACUGAGACACGGCCCAGACUCCUACGGGAGGCAGUAGUGGGGAAUAUUGGACAAUGGGCGAAAGCCUGAUCCAGCCAUGGCCGCGUGGAUGAAGAAGGCCCUAGGGUUGUUUUUUUUUUUCGGUGGUGAAGAUAAUGACGGUAACCACAUAAGAAGCCCCGGCUAAUUUCGUGCCAGCAGCCGCGGUAA
rnacentral:rRNA from 1 species